rnacentral:sRNA from 1 species
UUUUAGCCCCGAUGGGAACGGCAUCCUUUUGUUUUGUACUUCGACAUCCCGAUAGCUAUCGGGACAGCAUGACAAAACAAAAGAUACAGUGGACAGCGGGAUGAGCU